CAACAUGGAAAACAACAACAACAACAACAACAACAGUUUGGAGAUGACCAAAGUGGUCACUGAUCAAAGACCUUAUUCUACUGUUGUUUUUGUCUUUUUCCUGGCCGUCUACAUCCACCGGUUUCCCACGGUUCAUCCUUUGAUGGCCAUCACAUGCCAUGUCAAGUCAUUCCCAGCAGUGUGAUGCUGACAUCCUGACUCACAGGAACACUGAAGCUAACAGUUCCCAGCGUAGGAUUAAAGAAGGUUAGUAGUCUGUGAAAAAGUCUUCAUCUCCCAGGAGGGGGCAGCAGUGGUUUCAGGAAGGUUAAUGAGAAGCUUUAAUGUCUUCAAUUGUACGUUUUAAAGGCAACACUUUGAUGAUUAUCCUGAUGGAGGCUGCUGGGUCUCCGUGAGCUGAUGACUUCAUUUUUACAUCAGAUGAAGAUACGGGCACCAUACAGACGAGGGGAUUUUCAGAGUAAAAGCCUCACCAGUGAAUUUCAUUCAUGUUUUGUUGAAAAAUAAAAAA